rnacentral:rRNA from 1 species
UAAGGAAUAUUGGACAAUGGAGGCAACUCUGAUCCAGCCAUGCCGCGUGAAGGAAUAAGGCCCUAUGGGUUGUAAACUUCUUUUAGACGGGACAAAACCCCUUUACGUGUAAAGGGUUGAUGGUACUGUCAGGAUAAGCAUCGGCUAACUUCGUGCCAGCAGCCGCGGUAAUACGAAGGAUGCAAGCGUUAUCCGGAAUUAUUGGGUUUAAAGGGUGCGUAGGCGGACUAAUAAGUCAGUGGUGAAAUCCUGCAGCUUAACUGCAGAAUUGCCAUUGAUACUGUUAGUCUUGAGUACAGUUGAGGUCGGCGGAAUGUGGCAUGUAGCGGUGAAAUGCUUAGAUAUGACACAGAACACCGAUUGCGAAGGCAGCUUGCUAAGCUGUAACUGACGCUGAGGCACGAAAGCGUGGGGAGCAAACA